UGCGCGCGAGCGUGGGGGCGGCCUGGGCGGGGCUGCCGAGAGAAUGGCGUCACAGGGGGCCGGGCCAGGCCCGACGGGCUGACGUUAAGCAGGCGGCGGCCGUCUGCGCAGCAAUCCCGCUAGCUGAAAUUAGCCGAAAUUUUAUACUACUUCUUGUCUUCCUCCAGUAAAACCACUGAGGACUCUCAGCUGUCUGGGAGGCAUUCAGCUCCGGAUGAAGAGUGAAGGCUGAGAAAAUCCUCCAACAAAGAGCUGAUUUCAAACAGUCUUUCUCCUGCAGCUGCCACCACCCCCAGGAAGUGCGAAGUUUCCCUUCCACGAACCGCCCGGCGAACAAAUCUCCGAGCUUCCCCGCUCUUGAGCUUCCCUUCCCCCACCUGUCCCAGAGCAUCUCUGCCCCUGCGGUUGGCGCUUUACGACGGUGCAGGGAAUGGGGCGGGGGCGCACGCAGCCCAGGUGAGUUAGCUGCAGGACGCAAUCCACGCCGCCUCGUACGCGAUUGGGACGUGACUCAGCCUUCCUGCUCUCCCGGUGCCCCACCCCUGCUCCCUUCGGCCUCCUCCCGCAGCCCGUAGCACCCUCGAGUCACCGUCGGUCCUUGCCAGUUUCAUCCUCAAGUCCAAGCUAGUUUUCUCCUUUGCGCAGGAUUCUUUUGGUUGAUCCCACUCUGUGGCUUCCCGGCCAGUGGGCUGUCAAGCACUGAAACCAGCCUUGGGCUCAGCCUUCAAGAGUCCUGAAGUGGACUCUUUCAGCUCUGAGACCAUCCUGAGCCUCUGUAGCUCCCAGGGUCGUCAUCCCCAUUCAUACGUUUCAGAUCAGGGUGUGCAAAGGUCCGUGCACGUCUCAGAUCAGCGUGUUCAGAGGCCUAUGCACGCCACCACUUCCGGUGGUACCCAAGUGAAUCUUUUUUUUUACUUAGUAUGUAUUCAUAUUGCUGUUUAUUAAAAAUAUGAUUAGAACAUCAGACCUGUGAUUUCACAGUAUGGAUGCUCAGAAUGAGGUGAGAGUAAAUAUUUAUGUUUAAAAUAUG